AGAGUUUGAUUCUGGCUCAGAACGUACGCUGGCGGCACGCCUAACACAUGCAAGUCGAACGAAGUAGCAAUACUUAGUGGCAGACGGGUGAGUAACAUGUAGGUAUCUGCCCUUUGGCCUGGAAUAACACGAGGAAACUUGUGCUAAUACCGGAUAAGUCUUUACGGAGAAAGCUUUAUGCACCAUUGGAUGAGCCUGCACUUGAUUAGUUUGUUGGUGGGGUAAUGGCCUACCAAGACUUUGAUCAAUAGCUGAUUUGAGAGGAUGAUCAGCCACAUUGGGACUGAGACACGGCCCAAACUCCUACGGGAGGCAGCAGUGGGGAAUCUUGCACAAUGGAGGAAACUCUGAUGCAGCGAUGCCGCGUGAGUGAAGAAGGCCUUUGGGUUGUAAAGCUCUUUCGUCGGGGAAGAAAAUGACUGUACCCGAAUAAGAAGGUCCGGCUAACUUCGUGCCAGCAGCCGCGGUAAUACGAAGGGACCUAGCGUAGUUCGGAAUUACUGGGCUUAAAGAGUUCGUAGGUGGUUGAAAAAGUUGGUGGUGAAAUCCCAGAGCUUAACUCUGGAACUGCCAUCAAAACUUUUCAGCUAGAGUAUGAUAGAGGAAAGCAGAAUUUCUAGUGUAGAGGUGAAAUUCGUAGAUAUUAGAAAGAAUACCAAUUGCGAAGGCAGCUUUCUGGAUCAUUACUGACACUGAGGAACGAAAGCAUGGGUAGCGAAGAGGAUUAGAUACCCUCGUAGUCCAUGCCGUAAACGAUGUGUGUUAGACGUUGGAAAUUUAUUUUCAGUGUCGCAGCGAAAGCGAUAAACACACCGCCUGGGGAGUACGACCGCAAGGUUAAAACUCAAAUGAAUUGACGGGGACCCGCACAAGUAGUGGAGCAUGUGGUUUAAUUCGAAGAUACGCGCAGAACCUUACCAACACUUGACAUGUUCGUCGCGACUUUAAGAGAUUAAAGUUUUCGGUUCGGCCGGACGAAACACAGGUGCUGCAUGGCUGUCGUCAGCUCGUGUCGUGAGAUGUUGGGUUAAGUCCCGCAACGAGCGCAACCCUCACUUUUAGUUGCCAUCAUUAAGUUGGGCACUCUGAAAGAACUGCCAGUGAUAAGCUGGAGGAAGGUGGGGAUGACGUCAAGUCCUCAUGGCCCUUACGUGUUGGGCUACACACGUGCUACAAUGGUAUCUACAACAGGAAGCAAGACAGCGAUGUUAAGCAAAUCCCUAAAAGAUACCUCAGUUCGGAUUGCACUCUGCAACUCGAGUGCAUGAAGCUGGAAUUACUAGUAAUCGUGGAUCAGCGUGCCACGGUGAAUGCGUUCCCGGGUCUUGUACACACCGCCCGUCACACCAUGGGAGUUGGUUCUACCUUAAGGCAAGGUUUUAAACCCUUGACCACGGUAUAGUCAGCGACUGGGGUGAAGUCGUAACAAGGUA
rnacentral:rRNA from 1 species